AGGCGCGAAUGGAGGAUAAGAUUCAGACGCUCUUUACCAAACUCAGAUUGGGCCGACCACUAAGCCCGAAGAAAUCACAUCAAGGAGAGAGCUUUGCCCAAUCGCACCAAGCCCGAAGAGAUGACUUCCAAGAGAGGGGAAGCUCUAUGACCAACCCCAACUAUCCAUGCAUGAGAGUGGACUUCCCUAGAUGGGAAGAAGGAGACCCGAUUGGUUGGAUCUCGCGCGCGGAGCGAUAUUUUCGGUACCACAAAACCGCGG
rnacentral:lncRNA from 1 species